AAAUAAACAAAGGUGCUCCAGCAAUGGAGUAAAUUCUGUGACACAGAGGUCUAUACAAGAAGUGGGUUUCAGCAAUCUCUUUCAAGACCAAGAUGUGGAAGACUCCCUGCAGACAUGUUCGUUGGGAAGAACACCUACUAGUGAAUUUUAUUAGCCACCUACUUUGAAACUUAUUAACUAAUUAAAAAUUGAGUAGUCCUUCAUCUUUUAGUUUCUCACUUUUCCCUUAACCUCUGGUACUAAUUUAUUAGAGAAGUAGAGUGAAUUCUAGUGUGCCUAUGAUCAUAUUAAAGCAUUACAAUACAAAAAGUUAAUA
rnacentral:lncRNA from 1 species